rnacentral:rRNA from 1 species
GACGAACGCUGGCGGCGUGCCUAAUACAUGCAAGUCGAACGGUUUAGUUCCAAGAGGCUUGCCUUUUGGAACUAGACAGUGGCGGACGGGUGAGUAACACGUAGGCAACCUACCUGUCAAACCGGGAUAACCUCGGGAAACCGAAGCUAAACCCGGAUAAGCUCCUUUUUCGCAUGAAGGGGGAGUGAACAGGUGCGACCUGAUGACAGAUGGGCCUGCGGCGCAUUAGCUAGUAGGUAGGGUAACGGCCUACCUAGGCGAUGAUGCGUAGCCGACCUGAGAGGGCGUACGGUCACACUGGGACUGGGAUACGGCCCAGACUCCUACGGGAGGCAGCAGUAGGGAAUCUACGGCAAUGGGCGAAAGCCUGACCGGGCGACGCCGCGUGAGUGAGGAAGGCCUUCGGGUUGCAAAACUCUGUUGUUUGGGAAGAAGGGAAAGGGUAGGACCCUUAGGUGACGGUACCAAACGAGAAAGCCCCGGCUAACUACGUG